UCAGGGGUGAAGUCCGACUCCCGUAGGAGUCCGGACGAAGUCUGCUUGCAGUAGAAGCCGGGGAUGAAGUCUGGCUCCCAUAGGAGUCCGGAUGCAAUUCACUUGCAAGUGGCGUCGAGGGCGAAGUCCGGCUCCCGUAGGAGUCCGAAUGAAGUCUUCCUGCAGCCGGAGUUGGGGAUGAAGUCCGACUCCCGUAGGA
rnacentral:lncRNA from 1 species